UACGGAGGGGGCCAGCGUUGUUCGGAAUCAUUGGGCGUAAAGGGCGCGUAGGCGGCCGAUCAAGUCGGAGGUGAAAUCCCUCGGCUCAACUGAGGAAUUGCCUCCGAUACUGUUCGGCUUGAGUCCUGGAGAGGGUAGUGGAAUUCUCGGUGUAGCGGUGAAAUGCGUAGAUAUCGAGAGGAACACCUGCGGCGAAGGCGGGUUGCUGGGCUGACACUGACGCUGAGGCGCGAAAGCUAGGGGAGCGAACGGG
rnacentral:rRNA from 1 species